rnacentral:rRNA from 1 species
UACGUAGGGGGCGAGCGUUGUCCGGAUUUACUGGGCGUAAAGAGCGUGUAGGCGGCCCGGUAGGUCAGUUGUGAAAACUCGAGGCUCAACCUCGAGACGUCGAUGGAAACCAUCUGGCUAGAGUCCGGAAGAGGAGCGUGGAAUUCCUGGUGUAGCGGUGAAAUGCGUAGAGAUCAGGAGGAACACCCAUGGCGAAGGCAGCGCUCUGGUCGGCAUCUGACGCUGAGAGGCGAAAGCGUGGGGAGCGAACGGG